AGGUUCAGCCUACAGGCCAGUAUCCACAUCUCUUGCUGAAACUACAAGGUCAUGCACAAAUCCACAUGUGCUCGAUGCUUUGCACAGGUCGGAAGCUGCCGGCUCAUUCAUGGAAUUGCAAACUCAUGGUUCAUCAUACACACCAGUAUCCACACCCCUUGCUGGAGCUACAAGGUCACGCACGGAACCACAUGUGCUUGGUGUGUCAUUCUGAUGUUGCAUUGCUAUGUUCGUUAUGGUGCUACAGUUCUUGAUAUUUAGUUUCUUUAAUGCAAUUAGGAAUCUUUGCCUACUUCAGGCGUUUUGAGCCUAUCUAUCUAUCUAACUAUCCUUUUGCGUCUUUG